rnacentral:misc_RNA from 1 species
GGAAUUUUUUUUUUUUUUCUUAUUCGUUUUGAAUGAAAGCCAUAUUCAAUAAAGAUACCUAAUUUGCGUUUCUUUUUCCUCUCCUUUUAGCUGCUUAAUGAAGUCAAACUUUUUAAUUGAUAGAAGAUGCUUGGUGGGUUUCGUCGUACUACGAUUACAUGAUUGGCUAACACUAGUUUGUUUAUCAUGGAUCAAUGUGCUUAAAGCUAGUUUGUACUUUUCAUUAUUGUUGAUGAUAAUUGUGGAAAUAGUUUUUACUUAUCAUUAUUGUUGAUGAUAAUUGUGGAAAUAGUUUUUACUUA